GGAGGGUGGUGGGGGAGGCAGGACGCCAUGUUCCUUCUGCUCUGUCGCUCUUCCGGGCUCUAAGUGCUUGGAGAUCAGCAUCUGGAGGCCAGGGACUGGGCAAGGUGUCUGUUUCGGAAGGAUAGAGACGUCUCCCUGUGCCAUUCUGCCCAAGGAGGAGGUAGGCCAGGGACAGGUGCCUGGAGAGAGACCGGGACAGGGUCUACAGACUCGGAGACAUGCAAAGACUGCAGAGGGAUGUAUGAGAACAGAGGGGAGAGACAGACCCCCAGAGAGACAGAGGGACACCGAUGGAGAGACAGGGUGCAGGUGCAUGCUGGAAACAGACACAGGCCGAGGCUCCCUGGAGGUUAAGCUCGCAGACCAGCUUCUGCAUCCAUCGGCUGUGUGAUGUUGAGCAAGUUACUCAACCUUUCUGUGCCUCGGGGUCCUCCGCUGCAGAAUGGGGAUAAUAAUAGCACUAACCUCACGAGGUUGUUUGCAGGUUGAAGCAAGUCUUCUGUGUGCGUCCCUCCCAGCGGGGACUGGCCUGUGGAUGCCUGGGCACAAGGUUGCUGGCUUUAUUA